UACGUAGGUGACAAGCGUUGUCCGGAUUUACUGGGCGUAAAGAGCGCGCAGGCGGUCGUUCAAGUCGAGUGUGAAAGCCCCGGGCUUAACUUGGGAAUUGCGCUCGAAACUACUUUGCUGGAGUGUGGCAGAGGAAGGUGGAAUUCCACGUGUAGCGGUGAAAUGCGUAGAGAUGUGGAGGAACACCAAUGGCGAAGGCAGCCUUCUGGGCCAACACUGACGCUCAUGCACGAAAGCGUGGGGAGCAAACAGG
rnacentral:rRNA from 1 species